UUUCUCUUAGCUUAAAAAGAGCGUUAGUUUGAAGCACUGAAGGUAAUUUGUAUUAGAGUGGG
rnacentral:tRNA from 1 species